CAGUCGCCGCGGGAAUACAGAGGGUGCAAGCGUUAAUCGGAUUUACUGGGCGUAAAGGGCGCGUAGGUGGUUAUUUAAGUGAGAUGUGAAAGCCCCGGGCUUAACCUGGGAACUGCAUCUUAUACUGGGUAACUGGAGUGCAGUAGAGGGUAGUGGAAUUUCCGGUGUAGCGGUAAAAUGCGUAGAUAUCGGAAGGAACACCAGUGGCGAAGGCGGCUACCUGGACUGAGACUGACACUGAGGCGCGAGAGCGUGGGGAGCAAACAGGAUUAGAUACCCCCGUAGUCCCUGUCUCUUAUAC
rnacentral:rRNA from 1 species